UACAGAGGUCCCAAGCGUUGUUCGGAUUCACUGGGCGUAAAGGGUGCGUAGGUGGCCAGGUAAGUUCGAUGUGAAAUCUCCGGGCUUAACCCGGAAAGUGCAUUGAAUACUAUCUGGCUAGAGGGUUGGAGGGGGGACUGGAAUUCUCGGUGUAGCAGUGAAAUGCGUAGAUAUCGAGAGGAACACCAGUGGCGAAGGCGGGUCUCUGGGCCGAUACUGACGCUGAGGAGCGAAAGCGUGGGGAGCGAACAGG
rnacentral:rRNA from 1 species